GCACGGGUGGCUCAGUGAUAGAAUUCUCACUUUCCGUGUGGGAGACCUGGGUUCAAUUCCUGGCCAAUGCA
rnacentral:tRNA from 1 species